rnacentral:rRNA from 1 species
CCUGGUUGAUCCUGCCAGUAGCAUAUGCUUGUCUCAAAGAUUAAGCCAUGCAAGUCUAAGUACACACGCCGGUACAGUGAAACUGCGAAUGGCUCAUUUAAAUCAGUUUUGGUUCCUUUGAUCGCUCCACCGUUACUUGGAUUAACUGUGGCAAAUUCUAAGCUAAUACAUGCCAAACGAAGCGCUGACCUCUCCGGGGGAUUGCGGUGCAUUUAUUCAGACCCAAAACCCAUGCGGGGUGCCCUUCGGGCCCCCCGGCUGCCUUUGGUGACUCUAGAUCCCUCGAGCCGAUCCCGCGCCCUUUGUGGCGGUGACGUCUCAAUUCGAAUGUCUGCCCUAUCAACUUUCUCGAUGGUACUUUCUGUGCCUACCAUGGUGAACCACGGGGUACGGGGAAUCAGGGCUCGAUUCCGGAGAGGGAGCCUGAAGAAACGGGCUAACCACUUCCAAGGAAUGCAGCCGGCGCGGCCAAAAUUACCCCCUCCCCACUCGGGGGAGGUAGUGAACGAAAAAUAACAAUACAGGACUCUUUCGAGGGCCCCUGUAAUUGGAUGAGUACACCUUUAAAAUCCUUUAAGAGGAAUUCCAUUUGGAGGGCAAGUUGUGCCGCAGCCGUGACAUGGGGAGGUAGUGACAAUAAAUAACAAUACUGGGCUCAUCGAGUCUGGUAAUUGGAAUGAGUACAAUCUAAAUCCCUUAACGAGGAUCCAUUGGAGGGCAAGUCUGGUGCCAGCAGGCCGCUAAUUCCAGCUCCAAAUCGUAUCUUAAAGGUUGUUGCAGUUAAAAAGCUCGUAGUUGAACUUCAGACCUGGCCGGGCGGUCUGCCUAACGGUAUGUACUGUCUGGCUGGGUCUUACCUCUUGGUGAGCCGGCAUGCCCUUCACUGGGUGUGUCGGGGAACCAGGACUUUUACCUUGAGAAAAUUAGAGUGUUCAAAGCAGGCCUAUGCCCGAAUACAUUAGCAUGGAAUAAUAAAAUAGGACGUGCGGUUCUAUUUUGUUGGUUUCUAGAGUCGCCGUAAUGAUUAAUAGGGAUAGUUGGGGGCAUUAGUAUUCAGUUGCUAGAGGUGAAAUUCUUGGAUUUACUGAAGACUAACUACUGCGAAAGCAUUUGCCAAGGAUGUUUUCAUUAAUCAAGAACGAAAGUCGGAGUUCCGAAGACGAUCAGAUACCCGUCGUUAGUCCGGACCAUAAAACCGAAUGCCACUAGCGAUCGGCGGCGUUAUUCCCAUUGACCCGCCGGGGCAGCGUCCGGGAAACCAAAGUCUUUGGGUUCCGGGGGGAGCAUGGUUGCAAAGCCUGAAACUAAAAGAUUGUGCGGAAGGGCACCCACCAGGUUUCCCGUUGUUGAGUCAAAUUAAGCCGCAGGCUCCACUCCUUGGUGGUGCCCUUUCCGUCAAUUCCUUUAAGUUUCAGUUUGCCUUUCUCGAUUCUGUGGGUUGGUGGUGCAUGGCCGUUCUUAGUUGGUGGAGCGGAUUUGAAACUCACCAGGUCCAGACAUGACUAGGAUUGACAGAUUGAUAGCUCUUUCAUGAUUUUAUGGGUGGUGGUGCAUGGCCGUUCUUAGUUGGUGGAGUGAUUUGUCUGGUUAAUUCCGAUAACGAACGAGACUCCGGCAUGCUUAACUAGUUUAUGCGCCCCCCGAGCGGGCGUCACACUUCUUAGGAGGGGACAAGUGGCGUUCAGCCCCACACGAGAUUUAAGAACAGGUCUGUGAUGCCCUUAGAUGUCCGGGGCUGCACGCUGAGAUUGAGCAAUAACAGGUCUGUGAUGCCCUUAGAUGUCCGUGGCUGCACGCGCGCCACACUGAGCGGAUCAGCGUGUGUCUACUGAGGGACAAGUGGCGUUCAGCCACACGAGAUUGAGCAAUAAACAG